CACGUAGGGGACGAGCGUUGUCCGGAUUCAUUGGGCGUAAAGCGCGCGUAGGCGGCUCGGAAAGUCGGUCGUGAAAUGCCGGGGCUCAACCCCGGGACUGCGUCCGAUACUUCCGGGCUGGAGGUAGGUAGGGGAGAUCGGAAUUCCUGGUGUAGCGGUGAAAUGCGCAGAUAUCAGGAGGAACACCGGUGGCGAAGGCGGAUCUCUGGGCCUUACCUGACGCUGAGGCGCGAAAGCCAGGGGAGCAAACGGG
rnacentral:rRNA from 1 species